rnacentral:tRNA from 1 species
UCCUUGGUGGUUCAGUGGCUAAGAUUCUGCACUUCCAAUGCAGGAGGCCCAGGUUCGAUCCCUGGUCAGGGAA